rnacentral:rRNA from 1 species
UACGUAGGGGGCAAGCGUUGUUCGGAUUUAUUGGGCGUAAAGAGCGUGUAGGCGGCCGUACAGGUCAGCUGUGAAAACUCGAGGCUCAACCUCGAGACGUCGGUUGAAACCGUACGGCUAGAGUCCGGAAGAGGAGAGUGGAAUUCCCGGUGUAGCGGUGAAAUGCGCAGAUAUCGGGAAGAACACCCGUGGCGAAGGCGGCUCUCUGGGACGGUACUGACGCUGAGACGCGAAAGCGUGGGGAGCGAACAGG